rnacentral:rRNA from 1 species
UACAGAGGUCCCAAGCGUUGUUCGGAUUCACUGGGCGUAAAGGGUGCGUAGGUGGUCGGGUAAGUCCGAUGUGAAAUCUCCAGGCUCAACCUGGAAAUGGCAUUGGAUACUAUUCGGCUUGAGGAGUGGAGGGGGGACUGGAAUUCUCGGUGUAGCAGUGAAAUGCGUAGAUAUCGAGAGGAACACCAGUGGCGAAGGCGAGUCCCUGGACACUUCCUGACACUGAGGCACGAAAGCUAGGGGAGCAAGCAGG